UACAGAGGGUGCAAACGUUGUUCGGAAUUACUGGGCGUAAAGCGCACGUAGGCGGAUCGUUAAGUCAGGGGUGAAAUCCUGGAGCUCAACUCCAGAACUGCCUUUGAUACUGAAGAUCUUGAGUUCGGGAGAGGUGAGUGGAACUGCGAGUGUAGAGGUGAAAUUCGUAGAUAUUCGCAAGAACACCAGUGGCGAAGGCGGCUCACUGGCCCGAUACUGACGCUGAGGCACGAAAGCGUGGGGAGCAAACAGG
rnacentral:rRNA from 1 species